AUUCUUUACAUCAGCAACAGACUGGAUGGAGGCAGGAGGCAGUGCGGACCAGAGAGAGGAGUUGUUGCCCGCAGGGUGCCCUUUGAAGACUGCCUUUGCCACCAUCUGCAGCGCGUGGGGCAAGAUAUUAGAAUGGCAUCAGUGUUUGCUUUCACUAAGAGGAAGCGGAGUCCUGGGAGAAAGAGCCGCAGCCUGUGAUUGCACAGCCUUCCCUUGAUGGUACCUUUACCCUGGCAUGUGAGCUAUCAGCCGACUGGGGAUGCUUUCAAAUGAGACAGGAAACAGUUUAGGUGACAAUGAGAAACUCUGGUCUCAGUGGGAUGGAAAUAGAGCCUGGAAGAAAUGGGAAACUUUAAUAUCUGGAUGGAUUCCUUAAACAGCAUCCCCCUGAAGUAAAAGCUUGAAAAAUAAAGUCCACCUGGGUGGUGACUGUCAAGACAGGCCCUGCCCCGUGGGCACUGGCUGAGGAAUUUGGUGUAUUCCACACAUGCCGGAGUUUCCAAGGAGGAAACGUGUUUGAAGUCCAAAGAACAAGGACGGCCUCUGCUUGCUAAUCAGAAAAGAAGAAAUGCGUGAGGAUUGAAAUUGGCAACCAAUCUUUGAAAGCCUAGUAGACACCCGAUGCCUUCAACAUGUCUUAUAUGACCCUUGCCUCCAGCCUGUAAGGCUGGAGUGCAGUGGUGUGAUCUCAGCUCACUGAAACCUCCGCCUCCCGGAUUCAAGCAAUUCUCUUGCCUCAGCCUCCUGAGUAGCUGGGAUUACAG